AGCCAAUCCGUGAUUCUCUCUCAUCAUUGAUGUUUCUAUCUCAUUCUCUCUCUCCCUUCUUCUCUGAAAUCAAUAAAAAUAUAUUUAAAAACAAAACAAAGACUCAACCAGGCAGCACAUGGAUAGUGGAACAACAAUUCGAUGUUUUUCCCUCCCUCUAAGAUGAAUAAAUAAAACAAAAUAAUUUACAUUUUUAAAAAUGCUCCAAAACCAUAGAAAAUUAUAUGGCCAAAGGAAUUUGAAUGUCCCCUGAAAAAUCUUUCUACAAUAAAUGGGGAAACGGGCUGUGGGAUUUGUGCUCAGAAGCACCUGGCCACCCCUGACAGCUGCCCACGAAGAUGAAGAGGGAAAUGGCCAGGGUGAGGAGGACUCUCCUGGGGCCUGGGCCCCGCCCCACUGUCGGAAGGCCUGUGAGCGGUGGCCUAACUGGUCUGAACUGCAGUAAGACACUUGUUGGGGUGACCUUCGUGGCCCCCAGAAACGCAGCCAGGGCCAGAGGUGUCACCAAACCCGGGGGAGGGAGCAUCCUGAGUGGGGGUCGGGGGCCGGAGGGUCACUCCCCAGGGGCCCCGGGAGCCAGGGCCAGGCGGGCACCGGAGAGCUCUGGUCUGCGGGCAGGAGGCUGGGAAGCCCAUCCCAGGUCGAACCCACCAGGAUUCUGUGUGGCGGGGACAGAGAUGGGCAAGACCAGCCGGCAGGGGGGCAGUCCCUGCUGGGGAAGCAGAGGCAGGAGGUGGUCACAGAGGGGAGCACAGGAGCACGGCCCCCCGAACCUCAGGGACGGCUGUGCAGCGUGGGGAGGACAGGCUGGCAGACCUAAGGGACCUCAGGGUGACUGGCACCGCCAUGCCGUCCACCGUCCGUCAGCAGAACGGGUGACUCAGCAGAAACCAAACUGCUGACAAAAUGUCGGCGAGCCUGGGCUGAGCCGUGGGGAGCCUCACGGACAGUCAGAGGGGAAGUGAGCCUCGGAGCCGGGCGGCGGGAGCCCCAGGGCCUGAGCUGCGAGGGGAGCC